rnacentral:rRNA from 1 species
CGUAGAUGACCUGCUUCUUGGUUGGGGUUUCAUAGGUAGCAGAGAGCUCCCUCACUGCAGUCUAUUGAAAGUCAGCC